rnacentral:rRNA from 1 species
AAUACCCGAUAGUCCUCGAAUGCUGGAAUGCGUCGAGGACGAAAGCUCCGGUGCCUAAGGAUGGGUCUGCGGCCUAUCAGGUAGUAGUGGGUGUAGCGUACCUACUAGCCUACGACGGGUACGGGUUGUGAGAGCAAGAGCCCGGAGAUGGAUUCUGAGACACGAAUCCAGGCCCUACGGGGUGCAGCAGGCGCGAAAACUUUACAAUGCUGGCAACAGCGAUAAGGGAACCUCGAGUGCCAGGUUACAAAUCUGGCUGUCGAGAUGCCUAAAAAGCAUUUUCAUAACAAGGGCCGGGCAAGACCGGUGCCAGCCGCCCCCGGUAACCCCGGCGGCUCCAGUGGUAACCGUUAUUAUUGGGUCUAAAGGGUCUGUAGCCCGGCCCGAUAAAUCUCUUGGGAAAUCUGGCAGCUCAACUGUCAGGGUUUCCAGGAGGAUACUUUCUGGCUCGAGGGCGGGGAGAGGUGAGAGGUAUUUCCGGGGAAGGGGUGAAUUCUUUGUAAUCCUUGAAGGACCACCAGUGGCGGAGGGUGUCUCAUCCAGAACGGACCUGACGGCAAGGACGAAAAGCUAGGGGCACGAACCGGAUUAGAUACCCGGGUAGUCCUAGCCGUAAAGAUACUCGUUAGGUUUCGGCCACGGUGCGACCGUGGUCGUUGCGUAGGAAAGCCGUGAAAGCGACCCACCUGGGAAGUACGGCCGCAAGGCUGAAACUUUAAGGAAAUUGGCGGGGGAGCCCCACAACGGGUGGAGCUUGCGGUUUAAUUGGAUUCAACGCCGGAAAUCUUNCCGGGACCGACAGCAAUAUGAAGGCCAGGCUGAAGACUUUGCCGGAUUAGCUGAGAGGUGGUGCAUGGCCGUCGUCAGUUCGUACUGUGAAGCAUCCUGUUAAGUCAGGCAACGAGCGAGACCCACGCCCACAGUUGCCAGCGUACUCUCCGGAGUGAUGGGUACACUGUGGGGACCGCCGCUGCUAAAGCGGAGGAAGGAAUGGGCAACGGUAGGUCAGUAUGCCCCGAAUAUCCCGGGCUACACGCGAGCUACAAUGGUUGGUACAAUGGGUAUCUACCCCGAGAGGGGAUGGCAAUCUCCUAAAACCAAUCUUAGUUCGGAUUGAGGGCUGCAACUCGCCCUCAUGAAGCUGGAAUCCGUAGUAAUCGCGUUUCAAC